rnacentral:rRNA from 1 species
ACUCGCACAAGCGGUGGAGCAUGCGGUUUAAUUCGAUGCAACCCGAAGAACCUUACCUAGACUUGACAUCCCGGGGAUUUUCUGGAAACAGAGAAGUGCUUUAGCAAUAAAGAACCCGGUGACAGGUGCUGCAUGGCUGUCGUCAGCUCGUGUCGUGAGAUGUUGGGUUAAGUCCCGCAACGAGCGCAACCCUCGCCUUUAGUUGCCAGCAUUCAGUUGGGCACUCUAGAGGGACUGCCGGUGUCAAACCGGAGGAAGGUGGGAUGACGUCAAGUCCUCAUGGCCUUUAUGUCUAGGGCUACACACGUACUACAAUGGCCGGUACAAAGGGCAGCCACUCAGCGAUGAGGCGCUAAUCCCAUAAAGCCGGUCUCAGUCCGGAUCGCAGUCUGCAACUCGACUGCGUGAAGUUGGAAUCGCUAGUAAUCGCGGAUCAGCAUGCCCGCGGUCCGAAUACGUUCCGGCCUU